rnacentral:rRNA from 1 species
GACGAACGCUGGCGGCGUGCUUAACACAUGCAAGUCGAACGGAAAGGCCCUGCUUUUGUGGGGUGCUCGAGUGGCGAACGGGUGAGUAACACGUGAGUAACCUGCCCUUGACUUUGGGAUAACUUCAGGAAACUGGGGCUAAUACCGGAUAGGAGCUCCUGCUGCAUGGUGGGGGUUGGAAAGUUUCGGCGGUUGGGGAUGGACUCGCGGCUUAUCAGCUUGUUGGUGGGGUAGUGGCUUACCAAGGCUUUGACGGGUAGCCGGCCUGAGAGGGUGACCGGCCACAUGGGGACUGGGUAACGCCCCGGAUUCCACCGGGAGGAAGCGGGGGGAAUUUUUGCCCAUGGGGCGGAGGCCGAAUGCAGCACCGCGGGGUGGGGAAUACCGGCCUUCGGGUGUAAAACGCUUUUGGCUUGUACGAAGGCGUAGGGACGGUAAUUGGGUAAAAAGGCACCGCUUACUACGUG